rnacentral:sRNA from 1 species
CAAAACAAAAAAAAAACUCCUGGGCUCAGUUGAUCCCCUGGCCUCAGUCUCUUUAGCAGCCCUUCCUUCCUGCAGAUGCACAGUACCAUGACCAGCUCUCGGCUCACAGUUUUGAAGAUGAGGCACAAAUUGUUUUUGUCGUUCUUUAUCCAAGGGGCAAGAAGUUCAUAAAGAUUGUUGCAGAAGUUGGAUUUGCAUCAAGCUUGGUUUUGGAACUCCGAAUCAUUCAGAGUGUGAAAAUUCUCCAGCAAGCCGGAGAUGCGACCCUGUCAGCACAGUGCUUGUUUGGCUUCCCCAAGUCCUCGGGUUCAAACCUCAGUGGUCCAUACACUUGAGUAAGGAAUGUGGACCCCAGGAGGACAAGAUGUUUGGUCUGUCUUCACUAAUCUAUCUUCAGAUCAGGCUCUGGCAUACACGAGGCCGCCAAUAAAAUUAAGUGAACCUGUAGUUAUGUCUUGGGUUGUCCUGUCUCCGUCUCAGUCUCAGCCCCCUAGACCUGCCACCGGCCUCUGUUUCCUGGACACUGAGCCUCCCCCAGGGAGCAGGACUUGUCUGGCAUCUGCCUGCCUCGGGGCCUUGAGAAGAUCCUGGUUGUCUGACCUUGUGUCCCUGCCAAGUUGCCAGCAUGUGUGAAAUGCUAAAUUCUAGCUUAUUAUUAUUGAUUUUGAGAGCUAUGCCAAGAGGGCAAAAGGACAGCAAACGAGGAGAUGGAGGGGACACAUGGAUGGACAAUCAGAGUUGGGAAUAAAACGC